GACGAACGCUGGCGGCGUGCUUAACACAUGCAAGUCGAACGGAAAGGCCCUGCUUUUGUGGGGUGCUCGAGUGGCGAACGGGUGAGUAACACGUGAGUAACCUGCCCUUGACUUUGGGAUAACUUCAGGAAACUGGGGCUAAUACCGGAUAGGAGCUCCUGCUGCAUGGUGGGGGUUGGAAAGUUUCGGCGGUUGGGGAUGGACUCGCGGCUUAUCAGCUUGUCGGUGGGGUAGUGGCUUACCAAGGCUUUGGCGGGUAGCCGGCCUGAGAGGGUGACCGGCCACAUUGGGACUGAGAUACGGCCCAGACUCCUACGGGAGGCAGCAGUGGGGAAUAUUGCACAAUGGGCGGAAGCCUGAUGCAGCAACGCCGCGUGCGGGAUGACGGCCUUCGGGUUGUAAACCGCUUUCGCCUGUGACGAAGCGUGAGUGACGGUAAUGGGUAAAGAAGCACCGGCUAACUACGUG
rnacentral:rRNA from 1 species